rnacentral:snRNA from 1 species
UAUACUUUCGGGGAAAUAAAAUUGUAACGAUACAGAGAAGAUUAGCAUGGCCCUGCCGCAAGGAUGACACGCACAAAUCGAGAAGUCGAGUACAAACAG